rnacentral:misc_RNA from 1 species
UAUGAAGAACGUAGCAAAAUGCGAUAAGUAAUGUGAAUUGCAGAAUUCAGUGAAUCAUCGAAUCUUUGAACGCACAUUGCGCCCGCUGGUAUUCCGGCGGGCAUGCCUGUUCGAGCGUCAUUUCAACCCUCAAGCCCCCGGGUUUGGUGUUGGGGAUCGGCUCUGCCCUUCUGGGCGGUGCCGCCCCCGAAAUACAUUGGCGGUCUCGCUGCAGCCUCCAUUGCGUAGUAGCUAACACCUCGCAACUGGAACGCGGCGCGGCCAUGCCGUAAAACCCCAACUUCUGAAUGUUGACCUCGGAUCAGGUAGGAAUACCCGCUGAACUUAAGCAUAUCAAUAAGCGGAGGA